CAGUAGCCACGGGAAUACGAAGGGGGCUAGCGUUGCUCGGAAUCACUGGGCGUAAAGGGUGCGUAGGCGGGUCUUUAAGUCAGGGGUGAAAUCCUGGAGCUCAACUCCAGAACUGCCUUUGAUACUGAAGAUCUUGAGUUCGGGAGAGGUGAGUGGAACUGCGAGUGUAGAGGUGAAAUUCGUAGAUAUUCGCAAGAACACCAGUGGCGAAGGCGGCUCACUGGCCCGAUACUGACGCUGAGGCACGAAAGCGUGGGGAGCAAACAGGAUUAGAUACCCGGGUAGUCCCUGUCUCUUAUAC
rnacentral:rRNA from 1 species